rnacentral:rRNA from 1 species
GACGUAGGGUCCAAGCGUUGUCCGGAUUUACUGGGCGUAAAGAGCGCGUAGGCGGUCUGUUAAGUGCACGAGUGAAAUCCCGGGGCUAACCUCCGGAACUGCUCUGCAUACUGGCAGACUUGAGGGUCGGAGAGGUUUGUGGAAUUCCUGGUGUAGCGGUGAAAUGCGUUGAUAUCAGGAGGAACACCCAUGGCGAAGGCAGCUCGCUGGGACGGUACUGACGCUGAGACGCGAAAGCGUGGGGAGCAAACAGG